CUAGGAGAAGAUCAAUAACAGAAAAAGGCAACAAACAGAACGCAGUGUUUUCCAGUGCUUUGUUUUUGGACCUAAAAAGGCCGGAAAGUCGGCAUUGUUGAUGUCAUUGUUGGGAAGGUUUAGUUCUCAAUCUAUAUCUGCACCUAUAUAACUAUCAGAGUAAAAAUGAUUAUUUGGUUGUCUUUGUCCAAAUUUCUUGAUACUGAUCAGUAAUAUCAUUUAUUUCCAUUUCAAGACAACACACAGCACAGACUCCAUGUUCUAACUAAACAAACUAUAUUUCUUCGUGUUGUUAGUGUGUUUUUUAUUCCCCUUUAGGCAAAUGUAGAUAUUUUUUUUCUUCUGAAAACAGACCCUUUUCUGACAAUUAUGUUCCAACAACCAGCGAACAAUAUGUUGUAAAUGUUGUUGAACAGCAUGCGGUGAGUAUUAGUUUCAUAUCACCAUGCCAAUGACUAGAUGGAUACAGUGUUCAUAUCUUCCUCUCACUAACUCUAUCUAUGGUGGGUGGGUGCAUGAAAAUGUGAAGUAUGGCCUGAAUUCUUUAAAAUUUAAGCUGUGACUUGUGUUUAUGAUGCUUUUGAUGCAAUAAUCUACCUCUUCCUGAAGCAGGGCAAUAAGAAAACUCUUGUACUUCGGGAGACUCCAGAAGACGGUGUGAAGAAACAUAUCAAAUAAGGAAUCCUUGGCUGCGUGCGAUGUAGCAAUUUUUGUUUAUGACAGGUGACUUAUGCUAUGCCACAAUUUAUAACAAACCACAAUUGGACUUCUCGGAUUUGAAUAUUGUGUAGCUGUGACACUUUAGCUAUUUAACCACUCCCCAGCCCCCAGCCUGCAAAAAGGAAAUGGAAUUAAAUAGUCACCCUACGUGCAUGAAUACUAGUGUUUUGAUAGAUAAUUUUAUCAAUUGAUAGGCCACCGGUUAAAUACACUUAUUCUAGAAGAAACAAAAAGAGUGGAGGAGUGAGGGCAGUAACCAAUUCUGUUAGUGUAGCAGGGAGGGGUGAGUAAAUUCUGUUACGAAGACUAUAAAUAAGGGCUGAAUAAAAGUGUUUGGCAUGCAAAAAAAUUAAGUGAGGAAAACAUAGUGAGGAGAGUCUCAGCCCUCUCGAACGGCUGCUUAUGUUCGUCCCUUUAUUUCUUGUAAUUCAAUUUACUUCAAAUUAAUACAGUUUUCCUUUUCACCGCUACUUGCCUUUUAAUACAGCUAAACCCUAUCAAUCUGGUAUCAGAGCACUGCAACACCAAUCACCACCAUGACACUAGCCGAACGAGUUGGAGAAUUGGAGCAGAAGGUGGAUACUAAUCACCAAGAGCUUCAGAUGGGUAUUGAAUCACUCCGUUCGGAGUUCAAAAUGAUGCAUGUCGGGAUGACAGAGAGGUUCGAAAUGCUGAUGUGCAAUUGGGAUAUCCACGAGAAGGAGAGAAAGGAGAAGGGUCCGGCAACGGAGAAAUCACCGAUGAUGACUGUUGACUCCGGGUUAACACAGUUAAGACCCGGCAGCAGCCGAAGCAAUGAGGGAGGAUCGAGCAGUGACUGGCGUGGGGAGUCUCGGGUUCGGCGACUGCAGAUGCCCGUUUUUGAAGGGGGCGAUCUGGAUGGUUGGGUGUUUCGAGUAGAAAGGUAUUUUGGGAUUAAUAGGCUCACUGAAGAAGAGAAGGUGGAGGCGGCCGCCCUUUGUUUUGACGGCGAGGCAUUGGCAUGAUAUCAAUGGGAGGAGAAGCGUAAACCGAUGAGUAGUUGGGGAGAGGUGAAGACCCAGCUGCUAAGACGGUUUCGACCCUCUCAAGAAGGGUCUCUGUGUGCUCAAUUCUUGUCACUCCGGUAGAAUUCGACGGUUCGGGAAUACCGUCGACGGUUUGAGAUGUUGGCUUCUCCAUUGACAUCGGUGUCUGAAGAAGUCAUGGAGUGUAAUUUUCUUAAUGGACUCAAACCAGUUAUAAGGGCCGAAGUCCAACUGCAUAGGCCAGUGGGCUUGGAACAGAUUAUGGAGGUGGCCCAAAUGGUUGAAGACAAGAACUCCAUCAUCCACUCAGCUUCUGGUAACAUUGGCCCAAACAAACCCAAAGCCUUCCAUUAUAACAGCCCAAAUCCUUCUCAACCCACAAUCUUCCACACCCGAAACACGAUUCCAGUGAACCUUAAUCCUAUGCGCCCUAAUUUCUCCCCCAAAAAUUCCGCCAACUUUAAACGCCUCACUGACGCCGAGCUUCAAGCCAAGAAAGAGAAGGGAUUAUGCUAUAGAUGUGAUGAAAAAAUUACAAUUGGGCACAAAUGUAAGAAUAAGGAAUUGCAAGUAUUGGUCGUUCGAGAAAUGGAAGAAGGUGAGGUACGGACAGAGACAAUUCAAGCCGACGAACUGAGCUUCGGCUACAACGAAGGAGAAGGGAAACCAGUGUUGACCGAGGAAGAAGCCAUAGGACCGGGCCAGCCGGUUAAACUCUCCAUAAACUUUGUGGUCGGCCUUACAGCCCCGGGCACUAUGAAGCUGCUGGGAAGACUUGGCUCGAAGGAUGUGGUUGUUUUAGUGGAUAGUGGAGCAUCACACAAUUUUAUUUCGGCAGAAUUGGUCCAGCAGCUGGGUUACCCCCUAUCCAGUACAACAAGCUAUGGAGCGGUUAUGGGCACCGGCUUAACAGUAAAAGGGGAAGGGAUUUGCCGACGGGUGCCUUUGAAGCUGCUAGGGCUGUUGGUGGAAGAAGACUUCUUACCAUUAGAACUGGGCAGCUCCGAUGUCAUAUUGGGAAUACAAUGGCUCAGGUCCUUGGGAAAAAUGCAAGUGGAUUGGAAGGCCCUGAUUAUGUCUUUUGACGUCGGAGGAGCUAAAGUGACUCUGCAGGGGGACCCAAGCCUUAGCAAGACCCCUGUAUCAUUGAAGUCCAUGUUGAAAGCUUUUAAGGAGUAAGGGGAAGGCCUCUUAUUGGAAUUGGGAAGUAUCACCAUUAAUCCCAGUCCUGUCUCAGGCCUUCCGUCGGGAAUCAUUGCUGAUGUUCUGGAGGAGUUCAACUCAGUCUUCGAAUCCCCUACUCAGUUGCCACCAAAAAGAAAUCAAGAGCACGCAAUCACUUUGAAGGCAGGGGCAGAACUAGUCAGAGUGAGACCAUACCGUUACCCCCACUUCCAAAAGAAUGAGAUUGAGCAGUUGGUGAAAGAAAUGUUAGCUGCCGAAAUUAUCCAGAAUAGCACCAGCCCCUUUGCAAGUCCUGUACUGCUAGUAAGGAAGAAGGAUGGCAGUUGGCGAUUUUGCGUGGACUACAGGGCUUUAAACAAAGUCACUGUGCCCGACAAGUUUCCAAUUCCAGUAAUAGAUGAGUUACUGGAUGAGCUGAACGGAGCCACGGCAUUCUCAAAAAUCGACCUUAAGUCGGGAUAUCACCAAAUUCUAGUUAAGGUUGAAGAUGUGCCGAAGACUGCUUUCCGAACUCACGAGGGACAUUAUGAGUUCCUAGUCAUGCCCUUCGGCUUGACUAAUGCACCAGCCACUUUUCAGUCAGUCAUGAACUCCUUCUUCAGAGAGCAACUCCGGAAGUAUGUGUUAGUCUUUUUUGAUAACAUAUUGGUCUACAGUCGCACGGAGAUAGAGCAUCGGGAUCAUUUGCGGACGGUCUUAAGGAUCUUACCGGAAAACCAGUUUGUUGCAAAUAGGAAGAAAUGCUUAUUUGGACAAACAGAGAUAGAGUAUUUGGGUCACAUAAUCUCAGAAAAAGGAGUGGCGGCAGAUGAAUCAAAACUGAUGGCUAUGCGGGACUGGCCACAGCCUCAAACGAUCAAAGAGUUGCGAGGAUUCUUGGGGUUGACAAGGUAUUACCGGAGAUUUGUGGAGGGAUACGGAAAGAUAGCGUGGCCUCUAACCCAGCUAUUGAAGAUGGAUAGCUUCCGGUGGAAUGAUGCAGCAGAAUUGGCCUUUAGACAAUUAAAAGAAGCAAUGAUAAAAGUUCCAGUGUUGGCACUCCCUGAUUUCUCGCAGCCCUUCAUAAUGGAAACUGAUGCUUCUGGUCACGGAUUAGGAGCUGUCCUAAUGCAAAACCAGAGGCUAAUAGCCUAUUUCAGCCAAACACUCCCACCAAGAAGUCAGAAUAAAUCAGUUUAUGAACGGGAACUCAUGGCUAUUGUUAUGGCAGUACAAAAAUGGAGGCAUUACUUGCUGGGAAGAAGAUUCGUGGUCAGGACAGAUCAGAAGAGUCUUAAGUUUCUCAUGGAACAACGUUUAGUGAAUGUAGAAUAUUAGAAGUGGCUAACAAAGUUGCUGGGUUUUGACUUGGUGAUUGAGUACAAGCCGGGACUGGAGAAUAAGGCAGUAGACGCACUUUCGCAUAAAGGGGCAGCAGUUUCUUUAAUGGUUCUCAGCAUACCGAGUUAUCUGCAUCUCAAUGAGAUAAGAAGGACAGUGGAAGAGGAUCCUGAGUUGGGUCGAAUUGUGACUGCCCUGAAAGACGAUUCCUCCUCUUGCCCAGGUUAUGCCCUAGUAAAUGAGGUCCUAUUGUAUAAAGACCGGAUAGCACUACCCAGAAAUUCUCCCUUCACUCUACUGGCAUUGAAGGAGGGACACGAUAGUAAGGUGGGGGGUCAUGGAGGUUUCCUCAAGACUUACAAAAGGAUAGCUGAGACUUUCCACUGGGUGGGUAUGAAGAAGGAGAUUAGGAAUUAUGUUGCUACCUGUGAAGUGUGUCAACAGCACAAAUAUUCCACUUUGGCGCCUGCAGGUCUAUUAUAGCCACUUCCUGUGCCAGAGAAAAUUUGGGAGGAUGUAUAUAUGGAUUUCAUAGAAGGAUUGCCCAGGUUAGAGGGAUACGAUCCCAUACUGGUUGUGGUAGACCGCUUGAGCAAAUAUGUCCACUUUAUUAGCUUGAAACAUCCAUUCACGGCACCAUCAGUGGCAGCGAUAUUUAUUAAAGAAGUGGUUCGGCUGCAUGGGAUCCCCAGUCAAUCGUGUCUGAUCGGGAUAAAGUAUUUGUGUGCCACUUUUGGAACGAGCUAUUUCGCCUACGGGGAACCAAACUGAGGGUCAGUACAGCUUAUCAUCCCCAAUCCGACGGCCAGACUGAAGUGGUGAAUAGGGUGAUUGAAACCUACUUGCGGUGCUUUGCUUCAUUCAGGCCGAAAGAAUGGGUCCGUUUCCUACCUUGGGCUGAGUUGUCUUAUAAUACAUCCUUCCAUGUGUCUGCACAACUAACGCCCUUCCGGGUAGUAUACGGACGAGACCCUCCCCCCUUGUUGCGUUUUGAAAAAGGAAUGACGGCUGUUUCAUCCUUAGAUCAACUAUUGACAGAGAGAGACAAAAUCUUGGACGAACUCAAGAUACAUUUGGCUAAAGCACAACAGCAGAUGAAGCACUCCGCUGAUAAGCACAGAAGGGCAGUGGAAUUCUCAACGGGUGACUGGGUUUAUUUGAAAAUGCGUCCUUACCAUCGCAAGACUCUAGCACGACGCGUUAGUGAGAAACUCUCCCCUCGAUACUAUGGACCAUUUAAAGUAAUAGCCAGGGUUGGAGUGGUAGCUUAUCGGUUGGAACUACUUUCGGGAACACAAAUUCAUCCAGUGUUUCACGUAUCACAAUUACGAAAAGCAAUGGGGGAGCAUCAUUUCUCUUUGGACUUGCCGAGCAACUUGGGGGCAAACUGGGAGUUAAUGGUUGAACCAGAAGCAGUGCUGGGAAUUAGAACAGUAGCACAAGGCACAACAGGCGGGCUGGAAGUACUUAUCCAAUGGAAGGGCUUACCUCCGCUAGAGGCUACGUGGGAACCAGGCUAUCUCAUCAACCAACAAUUUCCCUCUUUCCACCUUGAGGACAAGGUGGCUGAAUUUGGNNNNNNNNNNNNNNNNNNNNNNNNNNNNNNNNNNNNNNNNNNNNNNNNNNNNNNNNNNNNNNNNNNNNNNNNNNNNNNNNNNNNNNNNNNNNNNNNNNNNNNNNNNNNNNNNNNNNNNNNNNNNNNNNNNNNNNNNNNNNNNNNNNNNNNNNNNNNNNNNNNNNNNNNNNNNNNNNNNNNNNNNNNNNNNNNNNNNNNNNNNNNNNNNNNNNNNNNNNNNNNNNNNNNNNNNNNNNNNNNNNNNNNNNNNNNNNNNNNNNNNNNNNNNNNNNNNNNNNNNNNNNNNNNNNNNNNNNNNNNNNNNNNNNNNNNNNNNNNNNNNNNNNNNNNNNNNNNNNNNNNNNNNNNNNNNNNNNNNNNNNNNNNNNNNNNNNNNNNNNNUCUUGUCAAAUUCAAUUUUCUUUUUCAGCUCGAGCGAAUAUUCUCUAAGAAGAACAUCAGAGUUGCUUGUGGAUGUCACUAAGCAACGGGAAGAAUCUGGUUUUAACAUGCCUUGUCUCCUAGCUGCAGCUAAGCAUGAUCUCGGUUCAUAUCCACUGGCUAGUGGCUAUGAAAGAGUCAGCAAAAGUAUUCAGUUGCUACUCAACCCUACUUCCUUGCUUCUGGAACUCAUGCAAUGAGACUUGAAGUGCUUACCUGGACACUUCACCCACACAGAACAAUGUGAAGAAAUAAAUGAAUUAUACUCUAUAUGUUUCCUAUUCCAUUUCAGAUUUAAGCACUUUUUAUAAUUCUGUGCAUUCACUAUUCACGUAAGCAUGAAAGAAAGAGAUCUUAAUAACGUGUUCUCUAAAAUUGUGAAUGUGGCUGAGAAGCCCCAUUUAAGUUUUCCAGAAACUGAUGCUGGUCGGAAUCGGAAGCGGUACUGCCAGCUCGUUAAUCACUCUCUUAUAUUUGUUUCAGAUAUCUUUUAUAUACAUAGUAAUAUUUAUCUGAGCUUUUUGGCGCUAAAGGGGACCAACUCCUGAGGAAAUUGUAGUGAGUUUAGUGACUAGGGUGUUGUGGGAGGGAUCCCACAUCCAACAUAUAUCAAAGUUCUAUUAUACGUCUUUAGAUCAUUUAUGUUGUAGGUUAUCAGUUACCUACUAGGCACCCUUAAUAUAAUUAGUGUUGUCCUUACCUGAAACCAUAAUGGUAAAAUUCCCAGUUCUUGAACCACGGAAACAUCAAACAUGUAUGCAUGCACAAAGAUCUACAUUAAAAUAGUGGGAACAUGAGAUUCAAUAUGAUUUUGCAAUGCAUGUGCCUUUUUUCUUUUACUCUUCAGGGUAAAUUGCAUGCUAUUACUCUCUUCAACGAAAAAUUGCAGUUGCCGCGGCAAAUGCUUUUGUUGGAAUGGCUGCCUACAGAGCCUAUGUUACAAGGGAGAACUGCGCCAGUUAAAUCUCCUCAUUUCCGUACACGAAUUGGCUAAAUUGCAUCAUUUCAAAUGACAUAAUAAAAGCCGGUGGGUAUCACAUACCCCUCUUAUCAUUUUAUGUUAUCAUUGUUACGUACGUACUCAACCAUAUAGUUUGUACAGAGUGCGUGCUUGCUCGUUUACUGCCAGUGCUGAAAUUUUUUACUGAAAAUCAUCAGCUUCGCUAUAACUGCAUCAAUACUGUCUGUAUAUAUAACAAAUAUGUGCAGUGGGGUUAGCUAUUUUUUGGAAAAUUGGCGCGCACACAUUAACAGUUUGGAGACCGAACAUUCUAAUUUCUCCUAGUUUUCCAGCUUUAGUCUUUAAAUCAUUAUAUUGCAGUUAAUUGCCUAAGAAGUUAAUAAACAAUUUAACAUGGCAGGUUUAGGCUAAAGGGCAUUAUAGGGUAUAUCCCUCUGGAUUCAGGGACUGGACUUGAUCUAAGGGGCUGUGAUACCUUAUAUGACAUGGCUGCUCACUUUCUUUAGAAGGGCCAUGCUUGAAAUUGCAGAAUUUGGAGGACACGAAUGGCACUGUUAAAUGGACUGUUAAUGAUGUGAGUGCUCUUUUCUGUUAAUGAAUGCUAUUUUGGAAAAAAGAUUUUUGUCUUUCCAGUGGGGGGACUUUAGUGAGGAUUUACUCGUUUAAUCGUUCAAAAUUGACUCAAGACAGGUACAAUGGAUUUGGCACGAAUUUUAUUUGAAUAUACACAAGCUCGACCCAAAUUCAUU
rnacentral:lncRNA from 1 species